UACGUAGGGGGCAAGCGUUGUCCGGAUUUAUUGGGCGUAAAGAGCGUGUAGGCGGCCUUACAGGUCAGCUGUGAAAACUCGAGGCUCAACCUCGAGACGUCGGUUGGAAACCGUAUGGCUAGAGUCCGGAAGAGGAGAGUGGAAUUCCCGGUGUAGCGGUGAAAUGCGCAGAUAUCAGGAAGAACACCCGUGGCGAAGGCGGCUCUCUGGGACGGUACUGACGGCUG
rnacentral:rRNA from 1 species